AAAAAAGGUAAGCUACUAAGAGCGAAUGGUGGAUGCCUUGACUGGUAAAGGCGAUGAAGGACGUACUAGACUGCGAUAAGCUACGGGGAGCUGUCAAGAAGCUUUGAUCCGUAGAUUUCCGAAUGGGGCAACCCAAUGUAUAGAGAUAUACAUUACCUAUAUAGGAGCGAACGAGGGGAAUUGAAACAUCUUAGUACCCUCAGGAAAAGAAAUCAAUAGAGAUUGCGUCAGUAGCGGCGAGCGAAAGCGUAAGAGGGCAAACCCAGUGCUUGCACUGGGGGUUGUAGGACUGCAAUGUGCAAGAGGUGAGUUUAGCAGAACAUUCUGGAAAGUAUAGCCAUAGAGGGUGAUAGUCCCGUAUGCGAAAAACAAACCUUAGCUAGCAGUAUCCUGAGUAGGGCGGGACACGAGAAAUCCUGUCUGAAGCUGGGUCGACCACGAUCCAACCCUAAAUACUAAUACCAGAUCGAUAGUGCACAAGUACCGUGAGGGAAAGGUGAAAAGAACCGCGGUGAGCGGAGUGAAAUAGAACCUGAAACCAUUUGCUUACAAUCAUUCAGAGCACUAUGUAGCAAUACAGUGUGAUGGACUGCCUUUUGCAUAAUGAGCCUGCGAGUUGUGGUGUCUGGCAAGGUUAAGCAAACGCGAAGCCGUAGCGAAAGCGAGUCUGAAUAGGGCGCUUAGUCAGAUGCUGCAGACCCGAAACGAAGUGAUCUAUCCAUGAGCAAGUUGAAGCUAGUGUAAGAACUAGUGGAGGACUGAACCCAUAGGCGUUGAAAAGCCCCGGGAUGACUUGUGGAUAGGGGUGAAAGGCCAAUCAAACUUCGUGAUAGCUGGUUCUCUCCGAAAUAUAUUUAGGUAUAGCGUUGUGUCGUAAUAUAAGGGGGUAGAGCACUGAAUGGGCUAGGGCAUACACCAAUGUACCAAACCCUAUCAAACUCCGAAUACCUUAUAUGUAAUCACAGCAGUCAGGCGGCGAGUGAUAAAAUCCGUCGUCAAGAGGGAAACAACCCAGACUACCAGCUAAGGUCCCUAAAUCUUACUUAAGUGGAAAACGAUGUGAAGUUACUUAAACAACCAGGAGGUUGGCUUAGAAGCAGCCAUCCUUUAAAGAAAGCGUAAUAGCUCACUGGUCUAGUGAUUUUGCGCGGAAAAUAUAACGGGGCUAAAGUAAGUACCGAAGCUGUAGACUUGAUUUUAUCAAGUGGUAGGAGAGCGUUCUAUUUGCGCCGAAGGUAUACCGGUAAGGAGUGCUGGAGCGAAUAGAAGUGAGCAUGCAGGCAUGAGUAGCGAUAAUUAAUGUGAGAAUCAUUAACGCCGUAAACCCAAGGUUUCCUACGCGAUGCUCGUCAUCGUAGGGUUAGUCGGGUCCUAAGUCGAGUCCGAAAGGGGUAGACGAUGGCAAAUUGGUUAAUAUUCCAAUACCAACAUUAGUGUGCGAUGGAAGGACGCUUAGGGCUAAGGGGGCUAGCGGAUGGAAGUGCUAGUCUAAGGUCGUAGGAGGUUAUACAGGCAAAUCCGUAUAACAUACUCCGAGAACUGAAAGGCUUUUUGAAGUCUUCGGAUGGAUAGAAGAACCCCUGAUGCCGUCGAGCCAAGAAAAGUUUCUAAGUUUAGCUAAUGUUGCCCGUACCGUAAACCGACACAGGUGGGUGGGAUGAGUAUUCUAAGGCGCGUGGAAGAACUCUCUUUAAGGAACUCUGCAAAAUAGCACCGUAUCUUCGGUAUAAGGUGUGGUUCGCUUCGUAUUAGGAUUUACUCCGAAAGCGAAGAAACUUACAACAAAGAGUCCCUCCCGACUGUUUACCAAAAACACAGCACUCUGCUAACUCGUAAGAGGAUGUAUAGGGUGUGACGCCUGCCCGGUGCUCGAAGGUUAAUUGAUGGGGUUAGCAUUAGCGAAGCUCUUGAUCGAAGCCCGAGUAAACGGCGGCCGUAACUAUAACGGUCCUAAGGUAGCGAAAUUCCUUGUCGGUUAAAUACCGACCUGCAUGAAUGGCGUAACGAGAUGGGAGCUGUCUCAAAGAGGGAUCCAGUGAAAUUGUAGUGGAGGUGAAAAUUCCUCCUACCCGCGGCAAGACGGAGAGACCCCGUGGACCUUUACUACAGCUUGACACUGCUAUUUGGAUAAGAAUGUGCAGGAUAGGUGGGAGGCUUUGAGUAUAUGACGCCAGUUGUAUAUGAGCCAUUGUUGAGAUACCACUCUUUCUUAUUUGGGUAGCUAACCAGCUUGAGUUAUCCUCAAGUGGGACAAUGUCUGGUGGGUAGUUUGACUGGGGCGGUCGCCUCCCAAAUAAUAACGGAGGCUUACAAAGGUUGGCUCAGAACGGUUGGAAAUCGUUCGUAGAGUAUAAAGGUAUAAGCCAGCUUAACUGCAAGACAUACAAGUCAAGCAGAGACGAAAGUCGGUCUUAGUGAUCCGGUGGUUCUGUGUGGAAGGGCCAUCGCUCAAAGGAUAAAAGGUACCCCGGGGAUAACAGGCUGAUCUCCCCCAAGAGCUCACAUCGACGGGGAGGUUUGGCACCUCGAUGUCGGCUCAUCGCAUCCUGGGGCUGGAGCAGGUCCCAAGGGUAUGGCUGUUCGCCAUUUAAAGCGGUACGCGAGCUGGGUUCAGAACGUCGUGAGACAGUUCGGUCCCUAUCUGCCGUGGGCGUAAGAAGAUUGAAGAGAUUUGACCCUAGUACGAGAGGACCGGGUUGAACAAACCACUGGUGUAGCUGUUGUUCUGCCAAGAGCAUCGCAGCGUAGCUAAGUUUGGAAAGGAUAAACGCUGAAAGCAUCUAAGCGUGAAGCCAACUCUAAGAUGAAUCUUCUCUAAGCUCUCUAGAAGACUACUAGUUUGAUAGGCUGGGUGUGUAAUGGAUGAAAGUCCUUUAGCUGACCAGUACUAAUAGAGCGUUUGGCUUAUCUUUAAUAAAGCAU
rnacentral:rRNA from 1 species